rnacentral:lncRNA from 1 species
GGGUUUGGUAGCCACUUGAUGCUCCUUAGUCAUGCAUUUAGCCUCUCCAGCACCCAGCAGCAAGGCAGGAGCUGUUCAAAUGGAGAAUAAUUGGCAGAAGACCAAACAGUCUUACUCUAAAACCCUAGAGGAAGUAGAAAGAUGCCCAAGAAGCCAUAUAUGCUUCUUCCUGUAGCUGUUUCAGUUUGCCCACCCAGGGAUCGGACAUGUUAGAGAAAGAGUCUUAAAGAUUAUCCCAACCCCAGCCACCACGUGACUGCAACCUCAUGAAAACCCCACACCAGAAC